CUGAUUGAACGUGCUUGCACGGACUUGACGUUGGUUUACCAGCGAGUGGCGGACGGGUGAGUAACACGUAGGUAACCUGCCCCAAAGCGGGGGAUAACAUUUGGAAACAGAUGCUAAUACCGCAUAACAAUUUGAAUCGCAUGAUUCAAAUUUAAAAGAUGGCUUCGGCUAUCACUUUGGGAUGGACCUGCGGCGCAUUAGCUUGUUGGUAGGGUAACGGCCUACCAAGGCUGUGAUGCGUAGCCGAGUUGAGAGACUGAUCGGCCACAAUGGAACUGAGACACGGUCCAUACUCCUACGGGAGGCAGCAGUAGGGAAUCUUCCACAAUGGGCGCAAGCCUGAUGGAGCAACACCGCGUGAGUGAAGAAGGGUUUCGGCUCGUAAAGCUCUGUUGUUAGAGAAGAACGUGCGUGAGAGCAACUGUUCACGCAGUGACGGUAUCUAACCAGAAAGUCACGGCUAACUACGUGCCAGCAGCCGCGGUAAUACGUAGGUGGCAAGCGUUAUCCGGAUUUAUUGGGCGUAAAGCGAGCGCAGGCGGUUUGAUAAGUCUGAUGUGAAAGCCUUUGGCUUAACCAAAGAAGUGCAUCGGAAACUGUCAGAUUUGAGUGCAGAAGAGGACAGUGGAACUCUGGGGGAAAGGGGGGGAAA
rnacentral:rRNA from 1 species